ensembl:lncRNA
CUAGCUAGGGGGAUAGAUGAAUAGCUAGAUAAAUGGAUGGAUGGAUAGCUAUAUGGGUGGAUGGAUGGAUAGAUAGCUAGAUAGAUGGAUGGAUGGAUAGCUAGCUAGGGGGAUAGAUGGAUAAAUGGAUGGAUAGAUCGCUAGAUGGAUAGCUAGCUAGGGGGAUAGAUGGAUAGCUAGAUAAAUGGAUGGAUGGAUAGCUAUAUGGGUGGAUGGAUGGAUAGAUAGCUAGAUAGAAAGAUGGAUGGAUAGCUAGCUAGGGGGAUAGAUGGAUAAAUGGAUGGAUAGAUAGAUAGAUGGAUGGAUGGAUGGAUAGCUAGAUAAAUUGGAUAGAUGGAUGGAUGGAUAGCUAUCUGGGUGAAUGGAUGGAUAGAUAGCUAGAUAAAUGGAGGGAUGGAUGGAUAGCUGUAUGCGUGGAUGGAUGGAUGGAUAGCUAGAUAAAUUAAUGCAUGGAUGGAUGGAUAGCUAGCUAGGUGGAUGGAUAGAUAGCUAGAUAAAUUGGAUAGAUGGAUAGAUAAAUGGAUGGAUGGAUAGCUAUAUGGGUGAAUGGAUGGAUGGAUAGCUAGGUGGAUGGAUGGAUGGAUAGAUAGAUAGAUGGAUGGAUGGAUAGAUAGCUUGAUAAAUUGGAUGGAUGGAUAGCUGGAUGGAUAGAUAGAUAGAUAGAUAGAUAGAUAGAUAGAUAGAUAGAUAGAUAGAUAGAUAGAUAAAUGGAUGGAUAGCUAGCUAGGUGGAUGGAUGGAUGGAUAGAUAGAUAAAUGGAUGGAUAGAUAGAUAGCUAGAUAAAUUGGAUAGAUGGAUAGCUAGAUUGAUGGGUGGAUAGAUAGAUGGAUGGAUGGAUGGAUAGCUAGCUAGGUGGAUGGGUAGAUGGAGGGAUAGAUAGCUAGAUACAGGGAUGGAUAGAUUGAUAGAUAGAUGGAUAGCUAGCUAGGUGGAUGGGUAGAUGGAGGGAUAGAUAGCUAGAUACAGGGAUGGAUAGAUUGAUAGAUAGAUGGAUGGAUAGAUAAAUUGAUGGAUAGCUAGAUGGAUGACAGCUAGAUAAAUGGUUGGAUGAACAGCUGGAUGGAUGGAUAGCUAGAUGGAUGGAUGGAUAGCUAGAUGGAUGGAUGGAUGGAUGGAUGGAUGGAUAGAUAGAUGGAUGGAUGGAUGGAUAGAUAGCUAGAUAAAUUGGAUAGAUGGAUAGAUAAAUGGAUGGAUGGAUAGCUAUAUGGGUGGAUGGAUGGAUGGAUAGAUAGAUGGAUGGAUAGCUAGAUAAAUUGGAUGGAUGGAUAGCUAGAUUGAUGGAUAGAUAGAUAGAUGGAUGGAUGGAUGGAUAGCUAGCUAGGUGGAUGGGUAGAUGGAGGGAUAGAUAGCUAGAUACAGGGAUUGAUAGAUAGAUGGAUGGAUAGAUAAAUUGAUGGAUAGCUAGAUGGAUGGAUGGAUGGAUGGAUGGACAGCUAGAUAAAUGGAUGGAUGAACAGCUGGAUGGAUGGAUAGCUAGAUGGAUGGAUGGAUAGCUGUAUGGGUGGAUGGAUAGAUAGCUAGGUGGAUGGAUGGAUAGAUAGCUAGAUACAUGGAUGGAUGGAUAGAUAGAUAGAUACAUGGAUAGACAGCUAGAUAAAUGGAUGGAUGGAUGGAU